AUCAAAAAAAUAAUUAAUGGAUGCUCACUAAAAUUGAAACUAUACAGAGAUUGGUAUGGCCCCUGCGCAAAGAUAACACACAAAUUCGCGAAGCGUUCCAUAUUUAA